AGUACUUUGUGUGAGAAGUGGAGUACUGAAGUUGAUAUGCAGAUUGUUUGUGCAUCUGGGGAAAAAAUUAUCAAAUCCUAGGGUCCCGGUGAAACAUUUAUGCAGAAUUUAGAAACGGAUUGAAGGAAGAAACCGAGACACAGAUGUGAAAAACAUGGUAUCAACUAUUUUUACAAGAUUGACGGUGGCAGUGAGUUUCGUAGAACUAGAAGUUUUGAUCACUCUCCGAAUAAUAAAGUUCUCAUUAUUCUGGCAGCUAACAUCUAUUACUGUGGACAAGUUUUUAUGAAGGUUGUCUUGCG
rnacentral:misc_RNA from 1 species